AGUGUCACUAAAGUGAGAAGAAUUUUGGCAUAGUUAAGAGCACACUGAAUGUCACUGUGGCUGGAACUCAGAGUUAAGUAGGAGAGGAGAGCUGGGGAGGUAGGCAGGAGCGAGACUGUGCCAGGUCUCAUAGGCUCUGAAUGUUAUUCAAGUUGCAUUUGAAGAAUUUUUAAGCAGGGUUUAACCUAGUCAUAAUCAGAUUUGCAUUUUAAAAGGAUCACUCUUGAAGAAUGAAAAAAAAGUAACUCCAUUUGCAGUAGCCACACAUAAAACUAAAUACCUGGGAAUUAAUCAAAGAAGUGAAAGAUCUCUAUGAAACAGUGAUGAAAAAAAUUGAAGAGGAUACCAGAAAAUGGAAAAAUAUUUCAUGUUAAUGGAUUGGAAGAAUGAAUAUUUUUAAAAUGUCCAUACUACCCAAUGCAAUCUACAGAUUCAAUGCAAUUACUAUCAAAA
rnacentral:lncRNA from 1 species